rnacentral:lncRNA from 1 species
GAAAAUCAGUUUGUGAUUGCAUUGUGGAUGCCAAUCUUAGCAUUCUCAACUUGGUUAUUGUAAAAAAGGGAGAGAAAGAUAUUCCUGGACAGACUGAUACUACGGUGCCUCCAGUAUGUUGUAAGAAAGCCCUUAAACAAAGAAGGUAAGAAACCUAGGACCAAAGCACCCAAGAUUCAGCAUCUUGUUACUCCACAUGAGGAAGAGGCUGCAGAAUACACUAAACUUUUGGCCAAGAGCAUGAAGGAGGCUAAAGAGAAGCCCC